AAUUGUGAUCCCAGUUUUCCGUGGUCCCCGAGGUGUCGGGCCGGGAGCUGCGCGAGGAGCGAGCCCGGCUCAGCCGGAGCCUCAUCCCGGCGCUGCCCCAGCUCCUGGAGAAGUUCUCGGCGGAGCCGGCGCCGGUGGCGGCGCUGCUGGAGCUGCUCCCGCACCUGGAGCUGGGAAUGUUCCGCACGGAGCGCUGGGACAAGUGCCUGGAGCAGGUGCUGGAGCGGAUCCAGGAGCUCUUUGGGAAGCACUCGGAGCCCUUCCCGCUGCUCCCAGUGCUCCCAGUGCCUCCCAGUGCCGCCUCCCAGUGCCUCCCAGUGCCUCCCAGUGCCGCC